rnacentral:rRNA from 1 species
GAUGAACGCUGGCGGCGUGCCUAAUACAUGCAAGUCGAGCGAACAGACGAGGAGCUUGCUUCUCUGACGUUAGCGGCGGACGGGUGAGUAACACGUGGAUAACCUACCUAUAAGACUGGGAUAACUUCGGGAAACCGGAGCUAAUACCGGAUAAUAUAUUGAACUGCAUGGUUCAAUAGUGAAAGACGGUUUUGCUGUCACUUAUAGAUGGAUCCGCGCCGCAUUAGCUAGUUGGUAGGGUAACGGCUUACCAAGGCAACGAUGCGUAGCCGACCUGAGAGGGUGAUCGGCCACACUGGAACUGAGACACGGUCCAGACUCCUACGGGAGGCAGCAGUAGGGAAUCUUCCGCAAUGGGCGAAAGCCUGACGGAGCAACGCCGCGUGAGUGAUGAAGGUCGUCGGAUCGUAAAACUCUGUUAUUAGGGAAGAACAAAUGUGUAAGUAACUAUGCACGUCGUGACGGCACCAAAUCAGAAAGCCACGGCUAACUACG